CAGAGGGUGCAAGCGUUGUUCGGAAUUACUGGGCGUAAAGCGCGCGCAGGCGGAUCCUGCAAGUCAGAAGUGAAAUCUCACUGCUCAACGGUGAGGCUGCUUUUGAUACUGCGGAUCUGGAGACCGGUAGAGGCUGGUAGAAUUGCAGGUGUAGCGGUGGAAUGCGUAGAGAUCUGCAAGAAUACCCGCGGCGAAGGCGGCCAGCUGGGCCGGUUCUGACGCUGAGGCGCGAAAGCGUGGGGAGCAAACAGGAUUAGAUACCCUGGUAGUCCACGCCGUAAACGAUGGGCACUAGGUGCUGGGGGGAGCGACCCCGUCAGUGCCGUAGCUAACGCGAUAAGUGCCCCGCCUGGGGAGUACGGCCACAAGGCUG
rnacentral:rRNA from 1 species